rnacentral:rRNA from 1 species
AUUGAACGCUGGCGGCAGGCCUAACACAUGCAAGUCGAACGGUAACAGGAAGAAGCUUGCUUCUUUGCUGACGAGUGGCGGACGGGUGAGUAAUGUCUGGGAAACUGCCUGAUGGAGGGGGAUAACUACUGGAAACGGUAGCUAAUACCGCAUAGCGUCGCAAGACCAAAGAGGGGGACCUUCGGGCCUCUUGCCAUCGGAUGUGCCCAGAUGGGAUUAGCUUGUUGGUGGGGUAACGGCUCACCAAGGCGACGAUCCCUAGCUGGUCUGAGAGGAUGACCAGCCACACUGGAACUGAGACACGGUCCAGACUCCUACGGGAGGCAGCAGUGGGGAAUAUUGCACAAUGGGCGCAAGCCUGAUGCAGCCAUGCCGCGUGUAUGAAGAAGGCCUUCGGGUUGUAAAGUACUUUCAGCGGGGAGGAAGGGAGUAAAGUUAAUACCUUUGCUCAUUGACGUUACCCGCAGAAGAAGCACCGGCUAACUCCGUG